GGUAGUUUCAGGUGUGUGAGGAAGUCAGGUGCUAGUCAUGAGACUUAGCUGCAGUCCCGGGCGCCAUCUUGGGACUGCCGCCACACCCGCUCCCCACAUGUAUGCAUGUGUGUCUAUGUGGAGAUGGCAGCUGUUGUUGAAGGACCAUUUGGAAAUUGACCUGUUGGUUCCGAAAAACAAAAACAAAAACAAAAACAAACAAAACAAACAAAACCACUGCUACCAUGGUAAGGAGUGCCGACAGUGUUCAACUUGACCAAAAGACUGUUGUCCAGAUUACCAAUCACUCCAGUCCCUUGGAGGGCUUGCUGAUAUGCCCUUGGACCUCUCCAGACUUAUGGAUUAAAAACAUUAGAAGAAUAAACACCAACAUUCCUCCUGGAAA